ACAUGCCUAUAGCAUAGCGUUAAUGCACCGGAUCCCAUUAGAACUCUACAGUUAAGCACGCUCAUGCUAGAGUAGUAUAGGGAUGGGUGAUCGCCUAUGAGGUCCUAGUAUUUUACAUGCC
rnacentral:rRNA from 1 species